UACGAAGGGGCUAGCGUUGCUCGGAAUUAGCUGGGCGUAAAGCGCACGGUAGGCGGUUUCUUAAGUCGGGGGUGAAAUCCUGGAGCUCAACUCCAGAACUGCCUUCGAUACUGAGAGACUUGAGUUGGGAGAGGUGAGUGGAACUGCGAGUGUAGAGGUGAAAUUCGUAGAUAGUUCGCAAGAACACCGGUGGCGAAGGCGGGUCUCUGGGCCGAUACU
rnacentral:rRNA from 1 species